ACACAGCCAGUGAAGGAAAGGGCUGAAAUCAAACCAGGCCUGUCUGACUGCAAGGCAGGGUCUUAAGGCUGCCUCCUGUGGGUAGGUCCAGGACCCAGCUGGUCUCCGUCCUGUGGCUCAGGUGCGAGGAGAGCCUCCCUGGGCCACCUGGGGAAGUCUGACUGACGUGCCAGAUCCUCACAGAACAAAGCACCCCCUCUCUCAGCACCAGGGAGCUCCUCCAGGAGCACCUUCCUCCCAUGUCUGUGUUCGCCGUUAAGACUGGACACACCAGGAUGAUCUUUCAACUUUGGGUCCAAAGGCCCUCAGCGGAUGUAAAAUAGGUACAUGAGGCCUUGAACUGAACAUUUUUUUCACUUCACCAUAACCUGGAUUUUCCCAGUUUAGGAGCAUCUGUUUGUCUUGAUAACGUUUGGAACAAAGUGAAAAAAAUUAGACUUUGAAGAGACCUUCAGCCUCCCAGCAGCCCUGUUUUACAGAUGAAGAAACUGAGGCUCAAAGAGCUGGAGAAGGUUGUUGCCCAGGGUCCUGUGGAGAGAAAACUCAAGCUCUGGCUGUUCCACCACUCUGGGACACCACCCCCAGUGGGAACCCCACCUUUACAAGGAUUCGAAGCUUUACUCCAUUUUUUGCCACACAUAAGGAGGCCGAGGAGGGAAG
rnacentral:lncRNA from 1 species